AGUGAACGCUGGCGGUAGGCCUAACACAUGCAAGUCGAACGGCAGCACAGUAAGAGCUUGCUCUUACGGGUGGCGAGUGGCGGACGGGUGAGGAAUACAUCGGAAUCUACUUUUUCGUGGGGGCUAACGUAGGGAAACUUACGCUACUACCGCAUACGACCUACGGGUGCAAGCAGGGGAUCUUCGGACCUUGCGCGAUUGAAUGAGACGAUGUCGGAUUGGCUAGUUGGCGGGGUAAAGGCCCACCAAGGCGAGGAUCCGUAGCUGGUCUGAGAGGAUGAUCAGCCACACUGGAACUGAGACACGGUCCAGACUCCUACGGGAGGCAGCAGUGGGGAAUAUUGGACAAUGGGCGCAAGCCUGAUCCAGCCAUACCGCGUGGGUGAAGAAGGCCUUCGGGUUGUAAAGCCCUUUUGUUGGGAAAGAAAAGCAGCAGGUUAAUACCCCGCUGUUCUGACGGUACCCAAAGAAUAAGCACCGGCUAACUUCGUG
rnacentral:rRNA from 1 species